rnacentral:rRNA from 2 species
GUGGGGAAUAUUGCACAAUGGGCGCAAGCCUGAUGCAGCCAUGCCGCGUGUAUGAAGAAGGCCUUCGGGUUGUAAAGUACUUUCAGCGGGGAGGAAGGGAGUAAAGUUAAUACCUUUGCUCAUUGACGUUACCCGCAGAAGAAGCACCGGCUAACUCCGUGCCAGCAGCCGCGGUAAUACGGAGGGUGCAAGCGUUAAUCGGAAUUACUGGGCGUAAAGCGCACGCAGGCGGUUUGUUAAGUCAGAUGUGAAAUCCCCGGGCUCAACCUGGGAACUGCAUCUGAUACUGGCAAGCUUGAGUCUCGUAGAGGGGGGUAGAAUUCCAGGUGUAGCGGUGAAAUGCGUAGAGAUCUGGAGGAAUACCGGUGGCGAAGGCGGCCCCCUGGACGAAGACUGACGCUCAGGUGCGAAAGCGUGGGGAGCAAACAGGAUUAGAAACCCCAGUAGUCC